GAUCUAUGAUAUGAUAUAUUGCAUAUAAAAUCUGAAAUAAUCACAUGAUAAAAUCUGCAUGCAUGGAUGUAAGCAGUAGAUCAAAUCUACACCAAUCUGAGUUUAGAACUCGAUACUUGAAUAUGGAUUGACAAUCAUCGCUACUGAGAGAUAUGGUAAAGAUGAUCUUUGCUGGUUUCUUAUAGCCGCACAUACGCCGGCCUCUACAAAAAAUUCACUCGAAGUUCUGAUC
rnacentral:lncRNA from 1 species